UACGUAGGGGGCAAGCGUUGUCCGGAAUCAUUGGGCGUAAAGAGCGUGUAGGCGGCUUGGUAAGUCCGCUGUGAAAGUCCAGGGCUCAACCCUGGAAUGCCGGUGGAAACUGUCAAGCUUGAGUCCGGAAGAGGCGAGUGGAAUUCCUGGUGUAGCGGUGAAAUGCGCAGAUAUCGGGAGGAACACCAGUGGCGAAGGCGAUCAUCUGGGGUUGUUCUGACACUGAGGAGCGAAAGCUAGGGGAGCAAACGGG
rnacentral:rRNA from 1 species